UACGUAGGGUGCGAGCGUUAAUCGGAAUUACUGGGCGUAAAGCGUGCGCAGGCGGUUUUGUAAGACAGGCGUGAAAUCCCCGGGCUCAACCUGGGAAUGGCGCUUGUGACUGCAAAGCUGGAGUGCGGCAGAGGGGGAUGGAAUUCCGCGUGUAGCAGUGAAAUGCGUAGAUAUGCGGAGGAACACCGAUGGCGAAGGCAAUCCCCUGGGCCUGCACUGACGCUCAUGCCACGAAAGGCGUGGGGAGCAAACAGG
rnacentral:rRNA from 1 species